UUUGGAAAUAAUAAAUCAGACUAUUGUUGACCACCAACCUACCCAGCCAAUUUAUUUUGCUCCAUUUGGAUUUAGCUGUUUUCACUUGGCUAGUUUGCACGAUCGCAGAAAACGCUCUGCGACCCAACAUUUUGGCGCCCAACGUGGGGCUCGAGUAAGUAUUCGCAUCUGGUAUUUCGUGGACACUUGGUCAUCAGCACGGAACUCCACCAUUGGACUACACCGCUGGACUUUAUCAUCCUCGUUGAACAUUGGAACCUAAUUGCCAUAACCAUUGCCCAGCAGCACUAGUAUUGUGGUCUCCACUGGUCUCUUCUGGACUCCUGUUUCACCACCAUUACGCCGCCGCUACUGGUUUGCCUUCCGUCGUCCACCCAAACGUAAGUAACCACUAUACUUGCAAAUUGAUACAGAAUGUCAUUGGAUUUGCUAAAGCAACAACGUGCAAAUGUCAAGAAAAACAUCACUCGAAUCAAAAAUAUCAUCGAGGGUAGUUUGCGAUCAGGUGGAAAAGCACUUUCACCUGCUGAACACAAGUGCCGCCUGGGUAUCCUGGAAUCUUAUUUCAAGCAAAUCCUGACGAUUCAGACAGACAUCGAAAGGUUGGAUGCCGAGGAUAGCAGAUAAUUGAUCGUGAGUAUAGCUUGUCCAACAAUGAAAAAUUCAAUCACCUGCGGAAUUGCCUACAAGGUCAAGCGUUGGAAACAGUGGACGCAUUUCAGGUAACAAAUGAGAAUUAUCCAAAGGCAUUGGAUAGGCUAAAGGCUCGCUAUGAUAAUAAUUUUUUUGGAAAAUAUUUCAUCAUUGUUCGAACUACCAGUUGUUACUAAAACAAAUGGUAUUCAGCUUAGAAGUCUUAUCGAUAAGGCUUCAUCAAAUAUGGAUCUCUCUUGUCGCUCGGUACUGACAUGCAAAUAUCACAAGCUAUGCUAAUCUAUUUAGUUUUGCAGAAGUCCGAUGAACAAACCAGCAAGAAAUUGAAAGAAUCACUAGAUUUCAAAUCAUUUCCAACAUGGGAAGACUGCACUAGGAUAUUGGAGAGACACUGCCAGUAUUAGGAGUCUAUUGACAGCGCUCACACCAGCAACCCUGUUACCAACAAAUCGCCAUCAAGCAAGUCAAAGGGCCAGCAACGAGGAUACGCUUUUUCUUGCUCCAACACACCAUGUCCAAUUUGUUCCAAUUCACGCCAUAAACCUUUGAAGUGCAAGCGCUUCAAGGCACUUAGCAUCGCUCAGCGCUUUGAUAAUGCAAAGAAGUUUGGUCUGUGUAUCAAUUGCCUUUCAAAGGGGCAUCAAGUAACGCAUUGCCAAUCAUCGCAUCGGUGCAAGGUUUGUCAAAGGCAACACCACACUCUACUUCAUCGUGGAUCAGCACCAAACCAACAAGCCACAAGUCCUUCAUCUUCAACAACGGAGGCUACUGUACAUACACAUAUGAAAAACUCGUCCAGUGACAGCAUCAUUCUUGCAACUGCAAAGGUUUGGGUUCGUGACUCAUCUGGCAACUACAAAUUGGGUAAGGCACUGUUGGUCUCCUGUUCCCAGGUUAACUUCAUCAGGAAUGAAUUUUCGCAAAAAUUAAGGUUGUCAAGAAGUAAGCAGAAUAUUGAAAUCCAAUGCAUUGUCACUGGUUUCAAGCUCCCAUUGACCUUCUGCAUCACAACCCACAUUGCCUAUCAACCGGAUCCAGAAAUCGACAUUUCUUCAUGGAACAUCCCAGGUAAUACUACAUUGGCAGAUGAGGAAUUCCACGUGCUAGGGAAGGUCGACUUGUUGUUAGGUACUGAAACGUUUUUCAGCCUACUGUCUGUCGGUCAAAUUAAACUAGGAACUAAUUUGCCAAUACUGCAAAAACGCUGUUAGGAUGGGUCGUGUCUGGACGAUAUCAAACAUUUACUUACAGCUAAUGAAUCUCUGGAUGCAUGGUUGGAGAAAUUGUGGAAAUUGGAGGAGGUUGCUACUGCCGCGGAUCCUUGGACUCGUGAACAGCACAGUUGCGAACGAUUAUAUCUCAAUACAGUCUCCAGAAACUCUUGUGGCAGAAUAGUUGUAAGAUUGCCCUUGAAGGAUGAUCCUAGUUGUUUGGGCGACUCAUACGUAACGGCUUUGAGACGGUUUCAUGCACAAGGACGUCGUUUCGAGAAGUUACCUCUUCUAAAGGCGCACUACAUCGAAUUCAUGGAUGAAUACAAAGGUUUGCGAAACAUGAGCGUUGUGGAAAACCCAAAGGUAAAUGAACCACAUUAUUAUAUUCCUCCUCACUGUGUUCUGAAGCCAACAAGUACAACAACCAAGCUGAGGGUCGUAUUCGAUGCAUCCUGUCGAACGACAACCCAAAAAUCGCUUAACGAUUUACAGAUAGUAGGACCUACUUUGCAAGCUGAACUAUUCAUUCUGCUUUUGCGCUUUCGGCUUUAUCGGUAUGCGCUCACCGCCGACAUCAUCAAAAUGUAUCGGCAAGUUGUAAUGCACGAAGACGACCGGAAAUACCAAUAUAUUUUAUGGAGGAGUUCACCCACUGAGGAGGUUUCGACAUAUCAACUCAAUACGGUAACUUAUGGAAUGGCAUCUGCUCCAUACUUAGCUAUACGGAGCAAAUAAGGCAAGAGGUAACUCAAUUGCUAGAUUUAGGUGGAUUUAAAUUAGCUAAAUAGCACUCUAAUCAACAACGGUUCAGAGAAGACAGUUUAGCUAAGGAUCUUAAUUUGGAUACAUCUAUCACAAGCACACCUGGAAUGAAAUGGGACCAAAACAUCGAUUGUUUCCUUUUUUCUUUUCAACCACCUUUGCGAUCAACUAAUUGCAUCACCAAACGGUCGAUUCUUUCCACGGCAUCAUCGCUAUUCGAUCCUCUUGGUCUCCUGGCUCCAGUAAUCAUAAAAUCAAAAAUCCUUUUGCAGGAAUUACGGCUCCUGAAGUUAAACUGGGAUGAGACGGUUCCCCAAACCAUCGAAUAUGCGUGGAAGAGCUUUCUCAGCGAAAUAUCGGACCUUUCGUUAAUCAAGGUGCAUAGGUAUUGCCUUUCGGUAGGUGCUCAGUUAUUCCAAUUGCAUGGCAUUGUCAGCGAAGAUGGAGCAACAUUCGUUCGCUUGCUCACAGCAAAAUCAAGAGUUGCACCGUUGAAAAAACAAUCACUGCCGAAAUUGGAGCUUUGUGGCGCUGUUCUUCUCGCUCGUUUACUUGCUAAUAUUAUACCAAUUUUUUUCUGAUAAAUCUUUUAAUGUUUUUGUUUCGACAGACUCGCAGAUACAUUGGCUAAAAGUGCAUUCAGCUACAUUAUCAACCUUUGUCGGCAACAGGAUGUCGGAAAUCCAAUGGAGGCACGUUCCCACACAAGACAACCCAGCGGCCAUAAUAUCUAGAGGAUGCACCGUGAAUGAGCUGUCCAAAUCAAUGUGGUAUGAUGACCCCAAGUUUUUAUACAAGGAGAUGGAAAACUUGCCGAGGAAUAAGUGCGAUAGCCUAGACCUGGAAGUCAUUGAAAGUGAAAAACGGAAAUCAGCAUUUAAACCGGUUAAAGAUCGACAUCUUCAUCGGAAAAACUACUACGCUGGACCUAAGGCACUCGUAGCAUUGAUAAGACUGCAAUUUUGGAUAAUAAACGCACGCGACGUGGCAAGGCGGAUCGUGAGGUCAUGCAUACACUGCGUACAAUACAAACCAAAACUUUAACAACAAGUCAUGGGACAUUUACCAGUCGAGCGGCUUACUCCAUCACGCCCCUUCGCGCGCUGUGGCAUCGACUUCUGUGGACCAGUCAACGUUUACUUACGGAUUCGUGGCAAGACACCUUACAAGGCGUAUAUCGCGAUCUUCGUAUGCCUUGCAUCAAAGGCAGUGCAUAUCGAAACCGUAACCGACUUAUCUACAGACGCAUUUUUGUCAUCACUAAAGAGAAUGAUUGGGAGAAGAGGCCUACCCUCUGACAUUUAUUGCGACAAUGCUAAAAACUUUGUCGGCGCUUGUAGUAAACUUGCAGAUUUAAAGGCAUUUCUAUUCAAACAUGAAAAUAAAAAUGCAAUCAUAAAUUACUGGGCUAAUGAAUUUAUCAACUUUUAUUUUAUAUCCCCUAGAGCACCUCAUUUUAUCGGUAUAUGGGAGGCGGCAGUCAAGUCAGCGAAGGGUCAUCUCAACCGCAGCAUUGGCAGAGCUAGACUGACAUUUGAAGAGUUAUCGACAGUUCCGGUAGAAAUAGAGGCGGUAUUUAAUUCCCGGCCGAUAUCACCAUUAUCAGCAGACCCAAGCGACUACGAGGCACUGACACGUGCACAUUUCAUCAUUGGCAGAUCCCUACAAGCUCUUCCGGAGAAAAUCAUAUCAACUAAUAUAGACAACUUGCAGCGAUGGACCCAAGUGACACGCAUUAAGCAAGCAUUUUGGAAAAGAUGGUCUCACAAAUAUGUUAAUGAGCUUCAAGCACGCUCAAAAUGGUUUUCGGAUCGUCUCAACAUCAACGAAAACACAAUGGUCAUCAUCCACGAAGACAACGUACCACCACAGAAAUGGCAUCUUGGGAGAGUAAUCAAUUGUAUACCAG